rnacentral:rRNA from 1 species
GACGAACGCUGGCGGCGUGCUUAACACAUGCAAGUCGAACGGAAAGGCCCUGCUUUUGUGGGGUGCUCGAGUGGCGAACGGGUGUGUAACACGUGAGUAACCUGCCCUUGACUUUGGGAUAACUUCAGGAAACUGGGGCUAAUACCGGAUAGGAGCUCCUGCUGCAUGGUGGGGGUUGGAAAGUUUCGGCGGUUGGGGAUGGACUCGCGGCUUAUCAGCUUGUUGGUGGGGUAGUGGCUUACCAAGGCUUUGACGGGUAGCCGGCCUGAGAGGGUGACCGGCCACAUUGGGACUGAGAUACGGCCCAGACUCCUACGGGAGGCAGCAGUGGGGAAUAUUGCACAAUGGGCGGAAGCCUGAUGCAGCAACGCCGCGUGCGGGAUGACGGCCUUCGGGUUGUAAACCGCUUUCGCCUGUGACGAAGCGUGAGUGACGGUAAUGGGUAAAGAAGCACCGGCUAACUACGUGCCAGCAGCCGCGGUGAUACGUAGGGUGCGAGCGUUGUCCGGAUUUAUUGGGCGUAAAGGGCUCGUAGGUGGUUGAUCGCGUCGGAAGUGUAAUCUUGGGGCUUAACCCUGAGCGUGCUUUCGAUACGGGUUGACUUGAGGAAGGUAGGGGAGAAUGGAAUUCCUGGUGGAGCGGUGGAAUGCGCAGAUAUCAGGAGGAACACCAGUGGCGAAGGCGGUUCUCUGGGCCUUUCCUGACGCUGAGGAGCGAAAGCGUGGGGAGCGAACAGGCUUAGAUACCCUGGUAGUCCACGCUGUAAACGGUGGGUACUAGGUGUGGGGUCCAUUCCACGGGUUCCGUGCCGUAGCUAACGCUUUAAGUACCCCGCCUGGGGAGUACGGCCGCAAGGCCAAAACUCAAAGGAAUUGACGGGGCCCCGCACAAGCGGCGGAGCAUGCGGAUUAAUUCGAUGCAACGCGUAGAACCUUACCUGGGUUUGACAUGGAUCGGGAGUGCUCAGAGAUGGGUGUGCCUCUUUUGGGGUCGGUUCACAGGUGGUGCAUGCCUGUCGUCAGCUCGUGUCGUGAGAUGUUGGGUUAAGUCCCGCAACGAGCGCAACCCUUGUUCACUGUUGCCAGCACGUUAUGGUGGGGACUCAGUGGAGACCGCCGGGGUCAACUCGGAGGAAGGUGGGGAUGACGUCAAGUCCUCAUGCCCCUUAUGUCCAGGGCUUCACGCAUGCUACAAUGGCUGGUACAGAGAGUGGCGAGCCUGUGAGGGUGAGCGAAUCUCGGAAAGCCGGUCUCAGUUCGGAUUGGGGUCUGCAACUCGACCUCAUGAAGUCGGAGUCGCUAGUAAUCGCAGAUCAGCAACGCUGCGGUGAAUACGUUCCCGGG